GCGUCCUGACCGAACUGGAUCUUUAGAUCCUCCAUCUCGGAGGAGGCUUUAAACUCCUCCACUGCUCGGGCCCCUUCCUCCGAGAUCAGGGACGGAAUCCACGCUUUCAGUUUGAAAACCUACGCCUUCAACUCGGAAGCCUGUGCCUUCAGUUCGGAGAUUUCGGCCUCAGCAUUCUUCCUCUCCUCCUCCAAGGCGAUCCUCAGAUCGGAUGAGGUUCGUCCCUCUUUUUCAGUGCCUCCUGGAGACUUAGGACCUC
rnacentral:lncRNA from 1 species